rnacentral:lncRNA from 1 species
AUAGUGAUGCUGGAUGCCUAGACCGACUCUAUUUAGCAUUUAUUAAUCUGAAAUUGGGAAGCAAUCAAGCAAAGCUCCAAAAUGUAGAAUUAGAUUUGAUUUAGCACUGAUGGUUUCACUGGUCACCACUCUAGCAGCUAGGAGGAUGGAUCGGAUUGGGCCAUUGGGGAUUUAAUUUGAGAUUUGAGACUACAUACCGGAGAUCAAAGGGGUAUGGACACUGGGAGCACGGAAAGGGAAGGGACACAGGGCUGCAGUCCUAUCUCCUCUCCGUUUCAGACUUAGAAAUUCAGACAUUAGUACCUGCUACUCCAUAAGUGAAGGAAGCUGGCCGCCCAACUAGCAUCCAGCAGCGCCGUCGUGCUUUGGCUAGCUACCUGGCUACACACUUGGUCCUAUAUAGAUCUGCCCCUCUCAUACGUACUCAAUAAUGGAGGGAAGGGAGCAGCUGACAGCUUUGAAAGGGAAGAGAAUGAGUACCUGCUCAUGUACGCUCCUGUUUGACGGCGGGACAGGGGGCGAAGGCUGUGACGACGCGGUGAAGACGGCGGCUCAGGCGAGUACAGAGACGCCAACGAGCGUGCAGCAGAGAUGGUGGCCUGGACGAUGGGUGUGGUGCUGGGGACGAUAUCCACGAUGACGGGGACGGCAGCCGCGGCGGCGAGAGUACGGCGGCCGUGGCAGGGAUGGCACCCAAUGCAAGCUGGCGUGCGGCAGAGAUGAGAUGCGGGUGCUGGGGUGAGAUGCGUGAG